AGAGUUUGAUCAUGGCUCAGGAUGAACGCUAGCUACAGGCUUAACACAUGCAAGUCGAGGGGAAACGACAUCGAAAGCUUGCUUUUGAUGGGCGUCGACCGGCGCACGGGUGAGUAACGCGUAUCCAACCUGCCCACCACUUGGGGAUAACCUUGCGAAAGUAAGACUAAUACCCAAUGAUAUCUCUAGAAGACAUCUGAAAGAGAUUAAAGAUUUAUCGGUGAUGGAUGGGGAUGCGUCUGAUUAGCUUGUUGGCGGGGUAACGGCCACAAGGCGACGAUCAGUAGGGUUCUGAGAGGAGGUCCCCANAUUGGAACUGAGACACGGUCCAAACUCUACGGGAGCA
rnacentral:rRNA from 1 species